GACGGGGGCCCGCACAAGCAGCGGAGCGUGUGGUUUAAUUCGAUGCUACACGAAGAACCUCACCAGGGUUUGACAUGUUAGAAGUAGUGAACCGAAAGGGGAUCGACCUGUUAAGUCAGGAGCUAUCACAGGUGCUGCAUGGCUGUCGUCAGCUCGUGCCGUGAGGUGUAUGGUUAAGUCCUGCAACGAGCGCAACCCUUAUUGCCAGUUAUAUUCUCUGGCGAUACUGCCUCGCAAAACGGGGAGGAAGGUGGGGAUGACGUCAAGUCAGCAUGGCCUUUAUACCCUGGGCUACACACACGCUACAAUGGAUGGUACAAUGGGUUGCCACCGGGCGACCGGGAGCUAAUCCCCAACACCAGCCCCAGUACGGAUCGAGGGUUGAAACUCACCCUCGUGAAGAUGGAGUUGCUAGUAAACGCAAGUCAGCCAUAUUGCGUUGAAUACGUUCCCGGGCCUU
rnacentral:rRNA from 1 species